CGGCGAGUGAGCGGCAAUAGCAAAUUUGAAAUCUGGCUCCUUUUAGGGGUCCGAGUUGUAAUUUGCAGAGGGUGCUUUGGCGUUGGUAGCGGUCUAAGUUCCUUGGAACAGGACAUCGCAGAGGGUGAGAAUCCCGUUUGUGGUCGCAUGCCUUCGCCGUGUAAAGCCCCUUCGACGAGUCGAGUUGUUUGGGAAUGCAGCUCUAAAUGGGAGGUAAAUUUCUUCUAAAGCUAAAUACUGGCCAGAGACCGAUAGCGCACAAGUAGAGUGAUCGAAAGAUGAAAAGCACUUUGGAAAGAGAGUCAAACAGCACGUGAAAUUGUUGAAAGGGAAGCGCUUGCAGUCAGACUUGCCCGUAGUUGCUCACCUAGGCUUUUGCCUGGGGCAUUCUUCUGCGGGCAGGCCAGCAUCAGUUUGGGCGGUCGGAUAAAGGUCUCUGUCAUGUAGCUUCCUUCGGGAAGAACUUAUAGGGGAGGCGAAAUGCGACCAGCCCGGACUGAGGUCCGCGCUUCUGCUAGGAUGCUGGCGUAAUGGCUGUAAGCGGCCCGUCUUGAAACACGGACCAAGGAGUCUAACAUCUAUG
rnacentral:rRNA from 1 species